UUGAAUUGAAGAGUUUGAUCAUGGCUCAGAUUGAACGCUGGCGGCAGGCUUAACACAUGCAAGUCGGACGGUAGCAGGAGAAAGCUUGCUUUCUUGCUGACGAGUGGCGGACGGGUGAGUAAUGCUUGGGGAUCUGUCUUAUGGAGGGGGAUAACGACGGGAAACUGUCGCUAAUACCGCGUAGAGUCGGGAGACGAAAGUGCGGGACCUUAGGGCCGCAUGCCAUGAGAUGAGCCCAAGUGUGAUU
rnacentral:rRNA from 1 species